CCUACGGGAGGCAGCAGUGGGGAAUAUUGCACAAUGGGCGAAACCCUGAUCCAGCGACGUCGCGUGAGUGAUGAAGUACUUCGGUAUGGAAAGCUCCUUCAGCAGGGAAGAAAAUGACGGUACCUGUCUAAGAAGCCCCGGCUAAAUACGUUCCAGCAGCCGCGGUAACACGGAGGGGGCAAGCGUUAACCGGAUUUACUGGGUGUAAAGGGAGCGUAGACGGCGUGGCAAGUCUGAAGUGAAAGUCGGGGGCUUAAACCCUGAAGUGCUUUGGAAACUGCCAUGCUAGAGUGCUGGAGAGGUAAGUGGAAUUCCUGGUGUAGCGGUGAAAUGCAUAGAUAUUAGGAGGAACACCGAUGGCGAAGGCAGCUUACUGGACAGUAACUGACGUUGAGGCUCGAAAGCGUGGGGAGCAAACAGGAUUAGAUACCCCGGUAGUC
rnacentral:rRNA from 1 species